UCCAUCACAAGACAUUGGUGCAAUCAGGAUGAGGUGGAAGAGGAGCCUGUGUUUGUCCAGCGUGUUUUUCCCGAGUGCGGUACAGGGGCAAAGGCGAGGCCGGUGUGUACCGCAGGGCCAGCCCGGUGCGUGCGCCCCCGGGGCAGCUCCCGCGGGGCAGGGCUGCGCCUCCCGGCACUGCUCGGCUCCUGAGGGGCGCGGAGAUCCAUCCCCGCUGCGGGAGCUGAUCGCCUCUCCCAGCUGUUGCGGGACACGCCUGGAGCAGGCGGCUCAGUUUGCAGCUGCAGGCCGGGAUCAGCUUGGGAUGCAGGGUGCAUGAAUUUGAAGCACAUCAGAGGUCAUUUCCUCCUGUGACUCGCUAAUCAGCUCUGGUACUUUCAUAUGUACAGCAGGAACUUUCAGACAAAGAUUGCUUUGGAUGCUUCUGGGCAACACUGAAUGCAGCAUUUUUUCAUCUCUAUCCCAGAAGGAUUAUUCCAAUGGUUCACCUUAGAUUCUGCACAGAAUAUUACUUUGAUACUGUAAUAGCUUUGGAAAUGCUUUUCUUUGAUGUCAAGAGCUGUAUGGAACUGUUCUUUUGAUUAAGACACACUUACACAC